UCGAAAAAGGAAAUGAGGGCUCAGAGAGGUGUGUGGUCACCAGGCCGGUAUCACGUAGGUGAAACGAGGCAGGUCUGGGACAGAGCCCUCACGUCCGCUGCAGUGCACCUGCUGUCCGCCGCUGGGCUCCGCUGCCCCUAAGGGCGGGCCCAGAGCCCCGAGCCUGGAGACCCGAGCCCCGCCCUCUUGGAGCCUCCAGCCACACCCCGGCCGGGGCCCGUCAGGUGCAGUGGGAGGGGGCCCAGAGCAGGGCAGCCCAUGCCCCGUCACGGAGGCAAGAGGGCUAGGCCGCGGGCCUGAGCGGGCAGGGCUGGCGGGGGAGGCGUUCGCGGAGGUCUGCGUGGACAGCCCCGAAGUCUUGGGCACCUGGGGCCGGCAGGCCGAGGAAGCCGCCGGGGGCUAAGGCCGUCGCCGCCGCCGCGACCCCGCCCUCGCCCGCGUCCCGCCCGGCUUCGGCCCGGGCUUCUGCCGUAUGCGCGGCCGUCACCCGCACUGCCAUCGCGCCCUCCAUGUCGCAACGCGCCGCAGGAAGAUGGCGGAUUUACGACCAUGUCGUCAUAACAACGGGCCGCGCCAGGCGAGCGAUAAGGAACUACGGCCGGAAAACGUCGGGGCGGAGCAAGGCCCCCACAGGAAGGAAGGAAGGGACGGACAUCCUACACUCGUACAGUUUUGGCUACUCUACGACGUAGUAGGAGGGAAGAGCUUCUGUCUCCCCAGCAACAGCACAGCCAAUGAAAGGCUGUCACAACUCAGCCAAUGAGCAGCCAUGAUACGUGGGACUCCCAGUUUCCUCCAAUGGUCUUUCUGCUUAGAAACUACGCCCGCCCUCGCAUUUGUAAGUCUUGAAAAUUAAGAAAGGGAAACCUCCCUGAGUGGAGUUGGGAGGCCUGCGGGGAACAGGGGAUUUCUCUCCCUCACCUCUCCUUGUCAACUGCAGACCCCGCCGGAAGAAAGGGACUAACGCACUGCAAGUCAUACUGUUUUAGCUACUUUACUUCCCAGCAGGAAGUAGGGUUUCUGCCUCCCUCAGCAACGGCCCAGACAUCCCGCCCCUCUGUCUUCUAUAAAAGAGCCUCCUUUCCUUCGCUCUCCUGUCCCACCUGUGGUUUUGCCCUAGCUUGCUUGUUCCAAGUUGCAAUUCUCUGCUGUUGCUGAAUAAAUCCGUUUUCACU